UACCGGAAGUUUACAUCAUGUGACCAAUGGGAGGAAACGAAAGUUGAUGUCAAGUCGGCAAGUACCCCUCCUAUGGUAGAAGUGUUGGUUGUUAACUAGUUGUCAACAUCCCUGCGUCAUCAUGGUGCUUCACUCAGACAGUGCUGUCGACGUGGCGACGGUGUCAAAUUAUAGACAGGUCGUCGUCAUCAACUAUCACCUUGAUUUUAAUGUGGAUUUCACCGAGAAGCAGAUCAAAGGGACCUCUUUGAUCACAUUCAAGACUCUCGCAACGCGACUUGUCGAAGUUCGGCUUGACACCCACGAGACAUUGACGGUUCACAGUGCUCACUUAGAGGGAGUGGACCAGUCUCUUAUCAUCAGGAAAAAAGACUUCACUGACUACGGCACAGCCCUACUGAUUGAUCUGCCUACUGAAAAGAAUGCUGGUGAGGAAUUCAAGAUCCGUCUCUCAUUCACCAGUACAGGGGGCCCAGGGGUCUGCUGGCUUGACCCACAGCAAACUGCAGGAAAGAAGAUGCCCUUCAUGUACACACAGGGACAGGCAGCUUGUAACAGAUCCUUCUUCCCCUGCCAGGACACGCCAACCAUCAAAUCAACGUACACGGCUAAUGUCAAGGUGGCAGAAGGCUUUACCCCGGUCAUGAGUGCGAGCAAAAGCAGCUACGGAGAAGUGGCCAACCUGUCCGGGGAUAAGGAGACGUACUACUUCAGCCAACAUGUGCCCAUACAGGUGUACCUGGUUGCCCUGGCAGUCGGAGACCUCAAGGCUGCAGAUAUCGGACCUCGGAGCAAAGUGUAUGCUGAGCCUAGUGUCCUGGAGAAGGCUCGGGCAGAGUUUGAUGGAGUUGUCGAGGAGUUCAUAUCAACAGGGGAGAGGCUGUUUGGACCGUACGUGUGGGGGAGAUACGACAUCCUCAUCAUGCCACCAUCUUUCCCGUACGGAGGCAUGGAGAAUCCUUGUCUCACAUUUGUCACACCUUGCAUACUGGUUGGGGACAAGUCGUUGACAGAUGUCGUCAUCCAUGAAAUUUCCCACAGCUGGUUCGGUAACCUUGUCACCAAUGCCACAUGGGGGGACUUCUGGCUGAACGAGGGUUUCACAAUGUUUGCACAGCGUCGCAUCAUGGAAGAGAUACUGGGACGCCCGUACACCUGUCUGGAGGCAAACACUGGGUUGAACUUGCUCCGCCUCCAUAUGGACCACACUGGAGAGGACCAUCCCCUGAAUAAGCUGCAGGUGGUUAUUGAGCAUGGUGUGGACCCUGAUGACACAUACAAUGAGACGCCGUACGAGAAGGGCUACUGUUUCGUCAGCUACUUGCAGCAUCUGGUCGGAGAUGUUCAGAAGUUUGACCAGUUCCUCAAGGACUAUGUUGACAAAUUUAAAUACAGGAGUGUGGUGGCUGCUGACACACUGGAGUAUUUUCUGCAGUACUUCCCCAGUCUAAAGGAACAGAAAGCAGAUCAACGUGAAGGGUUGGAGUUUGACCGAUGGCUGAACACUUCUGGCUGGCCACCAUAUGUCCCUGAUCUCUCAGCCGGCAAGGAACUGACUAGCCCAGCAGAACAACUGGCGAUGCACUGGCAGGGGAGACAACUGAGGAGAGUUUCCAUGACAUCAGUUCCUGGAAGAGCUACCAGUUGCUCCACUUCCUUGACAAGUUGCUGGAGAAGCCUGCAAUGAAGGCCGAGACCCUUGCUGCCAUAGCUGAUAAGUACCCUCAUCUGGCCAAAUCUCACAAUGCAGAGAUCUGUUUGAGAUGGGCUCAAAUUUGCAUAAAAAAUGACUACCAACCAGCCUUCCCAGAUAUCAGAGACUUUCUGCAUAGCCAAGGCAAACAGAAGUACACACUCCCGAUCUACAAGGCCCUGAUGAAGGGGGCGGAUGCAGCCAAGGCAUUCGCCUCCACAGUCUAUGAGGAAACUAAAGGCCAACUGCAUGUCCAGGUGGCCAACUAUGUUGCUAAAGAGUUAGGACUGAAGAAAUAACAGGAGACCUGUUGAUGCUGCUGCUAUAGAGAGGCAGAAGGAAUACACUGUCAACUUUCUUAUUAUUUACUUUUAAUUUGUGGGAGAAAUACUAGCACCUUGUCACACUGAAAGCAUGACGAAGUUCAAACUGACAGCCUAGUCUGUCUUCAUUGAUGAUAUAGAUUCUAACUAGUCUGUCUUCAUUGAUGAUGUAGAUUCUAAUAUGGCAAUGAUGAUGUUGUUUGAAGGAAGUUGAUGAACUGUAAUUAUGAUCUUUUUUAUAUCAUACGAGGAAGUCAGUUGUUGCAGUGUGCUUAUUCAGAUGUUCUGAUGAAAGAAAUUUUCUUAAUUUCUCAUUUGAAAUUUCAUGACCUGUAUUUCAUGACAGUUCUGUGAUUUUAGGGUAUAUUUGAAUCUGAUUGCUCAGUGACGGAGAUCAUGAUACAAUUCCUCUUACUUCACAGUAUUUCACCCAGAUAACACUAGAAGCAAAGUUGCACUUUGUUAUGUUGCCGACUACUUGGGGUGGUGGGGUACUCUCAUGGUUAAAGAAUCUGCUCAUCACUGUUGUAAAGACCAUGUGUGAAACCCAUUUCUGGUGUCCUCCACUGUGGUAUUGCUGUAAUAUUAUUAAAAGUAGUUCAAAACCAAACUUACUCACUCACUCAUAAAUGAAGAUGUAGGUUAGUAAUGAUAAGUCUUUCUAUAUAAAAAUCUUGGUACUUUUACAGUGGAAUACAGCCAAUAACUGUUGAAGGACACAGUGAUUUUAAAACCACAUCCGGUAUUUUAUUAAUUCACACGUCAUACAGAGGGAGUUAAGGCCCAUGUAUAGUUCCAUCUGCUAUUCUUGCUGGUUUCCUAUUCUCACGGUAAACAUGUUUUCUGCCGAUAUGGCUGAUGUGUGACAUCGAGCGGCUGUUAACCUUUGCCGACUGGUAACUAGGAUGCUGCCCAAGCCUGCGGGUGAUCAAAAUCAUGCAACGUAACGAAUAUUGGUGCGUUUAUACCAACUUGUACACAUCAUAACUUUUUCCCGCCUCAGGAAGGAUUGUUCUUCCAUACACUCCAUAACGUUACUUCCUCGUUAUACCGCAAGAAUGGGAGAAGCCUCAUUUCAUAAAUGGCGGAUGGCAUUGUUUAUCACCGGACUCAUGAGUGGUAAUUCACCUGAUGGAUCUAGCAGCUGAUAGAUGCAGAUGUUAGAGGAGAAGGUCCUUCAUUUAAAAACAAGAAGCAUUCAUAGGAGAAGACUUGUUUAAGCAGAUAUCUAAGUACCGCAAGAAUAUGAAAUGCGUACAUAUAUGUAAUACAAAAUGAUCACAUUGAUAGCUGGUUUGCUGAGCUCUCUGUACUUUCACAAUGACACAAGGAGAGUAACAACAGUGUCAUUAGUCAUAGUUACUCUUGUCUGGGUAUCUGGAUAUUGCUGUACGCAGGAUAAAAAUACACUCAAUUACUCCUCUAGUCAGGAAACCCAUCAAUCAAUUCCUGGAUUAGGUCAUGCAUACAGAGUAAAGGCCCUUGCUAGGUUAUGAUGAAGAUGUACCAAAUUUGUAAAAACAUCAUCAAUCCAGACUUUAUUAAUACGAAACCUGCACCUCAACAUCAUUUGUAUUAAAGUACUGUCGGAAAUCGAAAAAAACCUGCUUUUAGGCUGUUACUCUGUAUCCCUAAAAUUGACAAAUUUACAAAAGGCAUAUAUCGAAAUAACUGAUAUCGGCCUAACUAGGCAUUCGGUGGGGGCGUAAUAGGAUAUCC